AAACCGUACCCCAAACCGACACAGGUGGUCGGGUAGAGAAUACCAAGGCGCUUGAGAGAACUCGGGUGAAGGAACUAGGCAAAAUGGCACCGUAACUUCGGGAGAAGGUGCGCCGGCUAGGGUGAAGGAUUUACUCCGUAAGCUCUGGCUGGUCGAAGAUACCAGGCCGCUGCGACUGUUUAUUAAAAACACAGCACUCUGCAAACACGAAAGUGGACGUAUAGGGUGUGACGCCUCCCCGGUGCCGGAAGGUUAAUUGAUGGGGUUAGCGCAAGCGAAGCUCUUGAUCGAAGCCCCGGUAAACGGCGGCCGUAACAAUAACGGUCCUAAGGUAGCGAAAUUCCUUGUCGGGUAAGUUCCGACCUGCACGAAUGGCGUAACGAUGGCGGCGCUGUCUCCACCCGAGACUCAGUGAAAUUGAAAUCGCUGUGAAGAUGCAGUGUAUCCGCGGCUAGACGGAAAGACCCCGUGAACCUUUACUGUAGCUUUGCACUGGACUUUGAGCCUGCUUGUGUAGGAUAGGUGGGAGGCUUUGAAGCGUGGACGCCAGUUCGCGUGGAGCCAUCCUUGAAAUACCACCCUGGCAUGCUUGAGGUUCUAACUCUGGUCCGUAAUCCGGGUCGAGGACAGUGUAUGGUGGGCAGUUUGACUGGGGCGGUCUCCUCCUAAAGAGUAACGGAGGAGUACGAAGGUGCGCUCAGACCGGUCGGAAAUCGGUCGCAGAGUAUAAAGGCAAAAGCGCGCUUGACUGCGAGACAGACACGUCGAGCAGGUACGAAAGUAGGUCUUAGUGAUCCGGUGGUUCUGUAUGGAAGGGCCAUCGCUCAACGGAUAAAAGGUACUCCGGGGAUAACAGGCUGAUACCGCCCAAGAGUUCAUAUCGACGGCGGUGUUUGGCACCUCGAUGUCGGCUCAUCACAUCCUGGGGCUGAAGCCGGUCCCAAGGGUAUGGCUGUUCGCCAUUUAAAGUGGUACGCGAGCUGGGUUUAGAACGUCGUGAGACAGUUCGGUCCCUAUCUGCCGUGGACGUUUGAGAUUUGAGAGGGGCUGCUCCUAGUACGAGAGGACCGGAGUGGACGAACCUCUGGUGUUCCGGUUGUCACGCCAGUGGCAUUGCCGGGUAGCUAUGUUCGGAAAAGAUAACCGCUGAAAGCAUCUAAGCGGGAAACUUGCCUCAAGAUGAGGUCUCACUGGGAACUUGAUUCCCCUGAAGGGCCGUCGAAGACUACGACGUUGAUAGGCUGGGUGUGUAAGCGUUGUGAGGCGUUGAGCUAACCAGUACUAAUUGCCCGUGAGGCUUGAUC
rnacentral:rRNA from 1 species